CGGACGGGUGAGUAACGCGUGAGAAUCUGCCCUCAGGAGGGGGAUAACGGCUGGAAACGGCCGCUAAUACCCCAUAUGCCGAGAGGUGAAAUGAAUUUCGCCUGAGGAUGAGCUCGCGUCUGAUUAGCUAGUUGGUGGGGUAAAGGCCUACCAAGGCUUCGAUCAGUAGCUGGUCUGAGAGGAUGAUCAGCCACACUGGGACUGAGACACGGCCCAGACUCCUACGGGAGGCAGCAGUGGGGAAUUUUCCGCAAUGGGCGAAAGCCUGACGGAGCAACGCCGCGUGAGGGAUGAAGGCCUCUGGGCUGUAAACCUCUUUUCUCAAGGAAGAAGAACUGACGGUACUUGAGGAAUAAGCCACGGCUAAUUCCGUGCCAGCAGCCGCGGUAAUACGGGAGUGGCAAGCGUUAUCCGGAAUUAUUGGGCGUAAAGCGUCCGCAGGCGGCCUCGUAAGUCUGUCGUUAAAGCGUGGAGCUUAACUCCAUUUCAGCGAUGGAAACUGCGAGGCUUGAGUGUGGUAGGGGCAGAGGGAAUUCCCGGUGUAGCGGUGAAAUGCGUAGAUAUCGGGAAGAACACCAGUGGCGAAGGCGCUCUGCUGGGCCAUAACUGACGCUCAUGGACGAAAGCCAGGGGAGCGAAUGGGAUUAGAUACCCCAGUAGUC
rnacentral:rRNA from 1 species